CCCUCCGAGGGGUGCUGCAGCGGGGCUGGACACAGUCCCCCGUCAGGCUCGGAGUCAGUGGUUCAACGAUGCAACCGCACCCAUUCAUU
rfam:Gallionella sp. ShG14-8 contig00030, whole genome shotgun sequence.